rnacentral:sRNA from 1 species
AUCAAACCAGUCAUCAGGAAUUGCAACUUGUUACUCAUUCUAAGGCGUUUCAUCCAGGCAGUGAAAUCAUCAAAGUAGGCGUUCCUAAAUCCAAUAGUAAUGGAACCAGCAAAAUCUUUAGCCAUGUCUUCUGCAACUGUAGAAUAAUCGGCCCAAGAAUCGGUGCCGAUCACAACAAACCGAUCAGCCAGACCUUCAGCUUUGAUAGCCUCCAGUAUGGGUCUAGGAUUGGUCACAAGUAGAACAAUAACACCUAUACCUUCUGUGUUAGCAACACGACGAAUAACAGGCCGUAUUUCAUCAACAGAAGCACCUACGUUAACUCCUUCAGCAUAUCCAAUGCAGGAGUAUAGACCUUCAUUAAUGGUUGACUGCAAGGCUCGGUAACCAUUGAUACCAUAGCUUUCUGUAGUGUACACAACACCAACAUAACUCCAGCCGUUUGCAAGCAGAAUCUUUGCAAUAACUUCCAUCAUUUGGCUAUCUGGGGGAACAGUACGGGCAAAGUAUGGAUAUCUCCAUUGAUCACUCAGAGCCGAUGAUGAUGCUGAGGAGCUCAUUAGCUGAAUUUUCAUUGGAGCUGUGACACGAUUAGCAGCAGCAACAAAACGUGAUCCCCGUGUCAUGACACCCAUGAUCGAGCUUACAUCAAUGAUACUUUGAUCUGAGUC